AUUGAACGCUGGCGGAAGGCCUAACACAUGCAAGUCGAACGAGUGGCGGACGGGUGAGUAAUGUCUGGGAAACUGCCUGAUGGAGGGGGAUAACUACUGGCAACGGUAGCUAAUACCGCAUACCCUCAGAUGUGCCCAGAUGGGAGUAGCUAGUUGGUGGGGUAACGGCUCACCAAGGCGACGCUCCCUAGCUGGUCUGAGAGGAUGACCAGCCACACUGGAACUGAUACACUGUCCAGACGCCUACGGGAGGCAGCAGUGGGGAAUAUUGCACAAUGGGCGCAAGCCGGAUGCAGCCAUGCCGCGUGUAUGAAGAAGGCCUUCGGGUUGUAAAGUACUUUCAGCUGGGAGGCGUUACCCGCAGAAGAAGCACCGGCUAACUCCGUGCCAGCCGCCGCGGUAAUUC
rnacentral:rRNA from 1 species